UCCCUGGUGGCCCAGUGGCUAAGGACCCCAUGCUCUUGCCACCGUGGCCUGGGUUUGAUUCCCGACCAGGGAA
rnacentral:tRNA from 1 species